rfam:Myotis lucifugus cont2.4048, whole genome shotgun sequence.
UUGCCCAUCAGGGUUGCGGAUACCUGAUUUUAUUUAU